rnacentral:rRNA from 1 species
GAUGAACGCUGGCGGCGUGCCUAAUACAUGCAAGUCGAGCGAACAGACGAGGAGCUUGCUCCUCUGACGUUAGCGGCGGACGGGUGAGUAACACGUGGAUAACCUACCUAUAAGACUGGGAUAACUUCGGGAAACCGGAGCUAAUACCGGAUAAUAUAUUGAACCGCAUGGUUCAAUAGUGAAAGACGGUUUUGCUGUCACUUAUAGAUGGAUCCGCGCCGCAUUAGCUAGUUGGUAAGGUAACGGCUUACCAAGGCAAAGAUGCGUAGCCGACCUGAGAGGGUGAUCGGCCACACUGGAACUGAGACACGGUCCAGACUCCUACGGGAGGCAGCAGUAGGGAAUCUUCCGCAAUGGGCGAAAGCUUGACGGAGCAACGCCGCGUGAGUGAUGAAGGUCUUCGGAUCGUAAAACUCUGUUAUUAGGGAAGAACAAAUGUGUAAGUAACUAUGCACGUCUUGACGGUACCUAAUCAGAAAGCCACGGCUAACUACGUG